rnacentral:antisense_RNA from 1 species
CUUGAUCGACCCCAGCCACAGCGGCUGCCGUCCGGACUCCGCGCGUCCCUGCCCGUAGGUGGCCAACAACGCCUGCGCCUC